rnacentral:rRNA from 1 species
GUGGGGAAUAUUGGACAAUGGGCGCAAGCCUGAUCCAGCAAUGCCGCGUGCAGGAAGAAGGCCUUCGGGUUGUAAACUGCUUUUGUACGGAACGAAACGGUCCGGGUUAAUACCCUGGGCUAAUGACGGUACCGUAAGAAUAAGCACCGGCUAACUACGUGCCAGCAGCCGCGGUAAUACGUAGGGUGCAAGCGUUAAUCGGAAUUACUGGGCGUAAAGCGUGCGCAGGCGGUUUUGUAAGACAGGCGUGAAAUCCCCGGGCUCAACCUGGGAAUUGCGCUUGUGACUGCAAGGCUGGAGUGCGGCAGAGGGGGAUGGAAUUCCGCGUGUAGCAGUGAAAUGCGUAGAUAUGCGGAGGAACACCGAUGGCGAAGGCAAUCCCCUGGGCCUGCACUGACGCUCAUGCACGAAAGCGUGGGGAGCAAACAGGAUUAGAAACCCCAGUAGUCC